rnacentral:tRNA from 1 species
AUUUUUUUAGUAUAAUUAAUAUAAUUGAUUUCCAAUCAAAAGAUCUUUUUAGAUAAAGAAAAAAUA